GCAGGUUAGCUCAACGGGUAGAGCACCAGAUUAGAACUCUGGAAGUUGCGGGUUCGACUCCCGUACCACA
rnacentral:tRNA from 1 species